rnacentral:other from 1 species
AAAUUCCUGGGAUGUUCGAUACCCUGCUAUUUUGAACCUACAUUUUAUUUUAGGGUUCCCUAUAUUGCAGAUUGGAUGUCAGGCCGCCGUUUGCAGCGGAAGGCAGAAGAGAUGCUGCGGUUACCCACCUAGCUCUGGCUAGGCGUCAAAAUUGCAGGAAACGGCAUUUUGGGUUUUUG